CCAGGCUCAUGGGAGGCAUGACAUAUAAAAAGAGAACAGAUAUAUUUAUUCACCUCCGUUACUUCCCAGAGACUCCAAGCAAAGCUGUCAGCAAAUGCCAAUCAACUGCUAAAUGGAAACAGUGCACACUAUGAAAAAAACUACAGUAAAGUAGGAUGCAGAAGCCUGGGCACUGCAAUGUCUAAAAAACUGAUGACCCUUGUGCAAAUGGGCAAGUUAGAACAGGAUCUGGCUGGAGAAGGAGGCUGUGCAGAGGCUGAAUCCUUUGAUCCGACAUCUCCUUCGAAUCUGCUCCAAUGCCUGCUGUAAUAUGAAAGUUGAGAGCACUGUUUUUCUAGAAGUGACGUGGUUUCUGUUCCCUUUGAAGCUGUCCAUUGAAAUUCUGAUGUCAACACGGAACUGCAGAGAGGAAAAUCAUAUUAGACUUUUCUUGGGGCACAGAGUGAAUUGACAUAAAUAUGAGUUAUCUGUUAAUAUUGUUGUUAUCGCUGCCUGGCCUGAUGACUGUGACUCCUAUCUCCAAUGCUGGACAUUAUAUUCCAUCAACAGAGUUAUGUUUUACCCCUUUGGACAAUAGAAGUUGUUGC
rnacentral:lncRNA from 1 species